rnacentral:rRNA from 1 species
UGCAUAUCCAAUAGCGGAGGAAAAGAAACCAACAGGGAUUGCCUUAGUAGCGGCGAGUGAAGCGGCAAAAGCUCAAAUUUGAAAUCUGGCACUUUCAGUGUCCGAGUUGUAAUUUGAAGAAGGUAUCUUUGGGUCUGGCUCUUGUCUAUGUUUCUUGGAACAGAACGUCACAGAGGGUGAGAAUCCCGUGCGAUGAGAUGACCCAGACCUAUGUAAAGUUCCUUCGAAGAGUCGAGUUGUUUGGGAAUGCAGCUCUAAGUGGGUGGUAAAUUCCAUCUAAAGCUAAAUAUUGGCGAGAGACCGAUAGCGAACAAGUACAGUGAUGGAAAGAUGAAAAGAACUUUGAAAAGAGAGUGAAAAAGUACGUGAAAUUGUUGAAAGGGAAGGGCUUGAGAUCAGACUUGGUAUUUUGUAUGUUACUCUUUCGGGGGUGGCCUCUACAGUUUACCGGGCCAGCAUCAGUUUGGGCGGUAGGAGAAUUGCAAAGAAAUGUGGCACUGCUUCGGUAGUGUGUUAUAGUCUUUGUCGAUACUGCCAGCCUAGACUGAGGACUGCGGCUUCGGCCUAGGAUGUUGGCAUAAUGAUCUUAAGUCGCCCGUCUUG